rnacentral:rRNA from 1 species
AUUGAACGCUGGCGGCAUGCCUUACACAUGCAAGUCGAACGGCAGCACGGGUGCUUGCACCUGGUGGCGAGUGGCGAACGGGUGAGUAAUACAUCGGAACGUACCUUAUCGUGGGGGAUAACGCAGCGAAAGCUGUGCUAAUACCGCAUACGCCCUGAGGGGGAAAGCGGGGGAUCGAAAGACCUCGCGCGAUUAGAGCGGCCGAUGCCUGAUUAGCUUGUUGGUGGGGUAAAAGCCCACCAAGGCGACGAUCAGUAGCUGGUCUGAGAGGACGAUCAGCCACACUGGGAGUGAGACACGGGCCAGACGCCUACGGGAGGCAGCAGUGGGGAAUUGUGGAGAAUGGGGGCAACCCUGAUCCAGCAAUGCCGGGUGAGUGAAGAAGGCCUUCGGGUUGUAAAGCUCUGUUGUCAGGGAAGAAACACCGGCUCUAACACAGUCCGGGAAUGACGGUACCUGAAGAAUAAGCACCGGCUAACUACGUGCCAGCCGCCGCAGUAA